GUGUGUGUGUCGUCAGUGUGUGUGCGUGUAUGAACUAGAAUACUGACAUACCUUUCAUCUCUUCAGAAUGACUAAUUAUGCGUUUGUGUGUGUUUUUGUGUUUGUGUGAGUGGUUCGUUUACGAGUGUGGCUGCACUCGUAUCUAUAACGAUAGUGUGUAAGGAUGUGUCUUUCUGUUUGCGCCUGUCUCUUUGUGCAUGGCUGAUUGCUUUGUCCAUCUGACUACAAUUGAAAGGGGAUCUCUAUCUAUCUCCAUGUCGGUGUGUCUCUAUCUCAGCCGCUCCACCUUAAGGGGAGCUUUAGCAGGCUGUCUUGUUUAUGUUGAAGCCAACAGGCACAAUAUAUUACAGUCCAGGGCUCCCGGCUGAAAAUCCUACUGGAUCUUCUAGUGACCUGCUGUUCUUUCCUGUUUAAUUUUUUUUUUUACAUUUAGAUUAAAAGCAAAGCUCGCUCUCUGUCAUAGUUUUUCUCCCUCUUUUUUAAAUGUUGUAUUCCAACAGACAACACAACCCUUCAGUUUAAGGUUCUGUUCUCUCCUAUGAGAAGAAGAGGGACUGGAGGUACUGUAGAUUGUAGGUGAAUUUGAAUGGAGGAGUGUAGUGUUUGUAUCUUGUUGGAGGGGUUGGUGAAGGGACAGGAAAGGGGGGGUACUUGGGUGUAACGCUCAAGCUUCACUGCCAUGUCAGUGCGUGUGGACUCCAACUGAUCACAGAGCGAGAGAGACGGAGAGAGGAAGAGAGAAACCAGAGUGAGACUUUGGUUACACCGAGGAAACGGGAAGAAGGAAAAGGAGCCAAAGUGUUAGUGUGGGGAUUUGUUUUACCGUGAGACCUGUUUGACGGAUGCACUGACAGAGCUCUCCCAGCUGUGUCGACAGGCUCCGUGUCGGACAGGGACAGACAGAGCAGAGCUGAACGGAAAGAAGAGAAGAGAGCAGGACUGGGCAGGAGGGAGGACUGCUCUCUCCAACCUUGCCUGAGACCAGACCAAAGCAGUGGGAAAGAUCUGGACUGGGCUGUGUUCCUGGUGGUGGGCAGAGGAGUGGAGGGCCAGGGGACAGGCUCUGACCUGAUAAUCAAACAGACUGAACAUCUCUCCUGGGACCAUGUACCCUCAGGGCAGGCAUCCGGUCCCUAUUCAGCCUGGCCAGUCUUUCAAGUUCACAGUCCUGGAGACCCUGGACCGCAUCAAGGAGGAGUUCCAGUUCCUCCAGGCUCAGUACCACAGCCUGAAACUGGAGUGUGAGAAGCUGGCCAGUGAGAAGACAGAGAUGCAGAGACACUACAUCAUGG